rnacentral:rRNA from 1 species
AGCGGGAGCCGGGAAUGGAAAGCCCGGUACAAGCGAGGUACCAGUAUGGUAGGAAAAACCGCCAUGCAAUGGGAAGACGUGAUGUGGAGUGAAAUAUAGUAACGAAGCCCGUGAGCCAUGCGUCAAGAAAAGCCGCUAUUGUUUAUAUUGUACCCGUACCGUAAACCGACACAGGUGGAUGAGGAGAGAAUCCUAAGGCCGGCGGAAGAAGUAUUGCCAAGGAACUCGGCAAAAUGGCCCCGUAACUUAGGGAGAAGGGGUGCCUGCGAGAGCAGGCCGCAGAGAAUAGGCUCAAGCAACUGUUUAGCAAAAACACAGGUCUAUGCGAAACCGAAAGGUGAGGUAUAUUGGCUGACGCCUGCCCGGUGCUGGAAGGUUAAGAGGAGAGGUUAGACGCAAGUCGAAGCUUUGAAUUUAAGCCCCAGUAAACGGCGGCCGUAACUAUAACGGUCCUAAGGUAGCGAAAUUCCUUGUCGGGUAAGUUCCGACCCGCACGAAAGGCGUAAUGAUUUGAGCGCUGUCUCGGCAAUACAUCCGGUGAAAUUGAAGUGCCAGUGAAGAUGCUGGCUACCCGCGCCAGGACGGAAAGACCCCAUGGAGCUUUACUCCAGUUUGGCACUGGGGUCCGGUGUUGCAUGUACAGGAUAGGUGGGAGGCUGAGAGAUAGUGACGUCAGUUGCUAUGGAGCCGCUGUUGGGAUACCACCCUUGUGAUAUUGGGCUUCUAACCAGCCGCCGUGAACCGGCGGUGGGACAAUGCCAGGCGGGGAGUUUGACUGGGGCGGUCGCCUCCGAAAGGGUAUCGGAGGCGCCCAAAGGUUCCCUCAGAAUGGACGGAAACCAUUCGAAGAGUGCAAAGGCAGAAGGGAGCUUGACUGCGACACCGACGGGUGGAGCAGGUACGAAAGUAGGGCUUAGUGAUCCGGUGGUAUUAAGUGGGAAUGCCAUCGCUCAACGGAUAAAAGCUACCCUGGGAUAACAGGCUUAUCACUCCCAAGAGUUCACGUCGACGGAGUGGUUUGGCACCUCGAUGUCGGCUCAUCGCAUCCUGGGGCUGUAGUAGGUCCCAAGGGUUGGGCUGUUCGCCCAUUAAAGCGGUACGCGAGCUGGGUUCAGAACGUCGUGAGACAGUUCGGUCCCUAUCCGGCGUGGGCGUAGGAUAUCUGAGAGGAGCUGUCCUUAGUACGAGAGGACCGGGAUGGACGGACCGCUGGUGGACCGGUUGGCUUGCCAAAGCCAUGGCCGGGUAGCCAAGUCCGGAAGGGAUAAACGCUGAGGGCAUCUAAGCGUGAAGCCCCCCUCAAGAUGAGAUAUCCCAUUCUUUAAGAAGUAAACCCCCUUGAAGACGACGAGGUAGAUAGGGCAGAGGUGGAAGUGUGGUAACACAUGGAGCUGACUGUUACUAAUCGGGUGAGGGCUUGACCAA